rnacentral:rRNA from 1 species
UACGGAGGGUGCGAGCGUUGUCCGGAAUCACUGGGCGUAAAGGGCGCGUAGGCGGCGCGGAAAGUCGUCGGUGAAAGCUCGGGGCUCAACCCUGAGUCUGCCGGUGAUACUCCCGCGCUCGAGCUCACUAGAGGCAGAUGGAAUUCCUGGUGUAGCGGUGAAAUGCGCAGAUAUCAGGAGGAACACCGGUGGCGAAGGCGGGUCUCUGGGCCGAUACUGACGCUGAGGAGCGAAAAGCGUGGGGGAGCGAACAGG